CCCGCACUAUGGCCUCGGUCUCGGAGCUCGCCUGCAUCUACUCGGCCCUCAUCCUGCACGACGACUCAUCGUCGUGAGGUCACCGAGGAUAAGAUUAAUGCCCUCCUUCACGCAGCGGGUGUGAAUGUUGAACCCUUCUGGCCUGGCUUGUUUGCAAAGGCCCUGACCAACGUCAACAUGGGGAGCCUCAUCUGCGAUGUAGGAGCUGCUGGACCGGCCCCAGCAGCUGGCGCUGCGCCAGCCGGAGGUCCUGCUCCUCCUACCGCUGCUGCCCCAGCUGAGAAGAAAGUGGAAGCAAAGAAGGGCGAAUCUGAGGAGUCUGACGAUGACAUGGGCUUUGGUCUUUUUGACUAAACCUCUUCUAUAGGCUGCUCAAUAAAAAGCUGAACUCUUAAAAAAAAAAAAA